rnacentral:rRNA from 1 species
CCUACGGGUGGCUGCAGUGGGGGAUAUUGCACAAUGGGGGGAACCCUGAUGCAGCGACGCCGCGUGUGGGAAGACGGUCCUCUGGAUUGUAAACCACUGUCCCCAGGGACGAAAAUGACGGUACCUGGGGAGGAAGCUCCGUCUAACUACGUGCCAGCAGCCGCGGUAAUACGUAGGGAGCGAGCGUUGUCCGGAAUUACGGGGUGUAAAGGGAGCGUAGGCGGUGAUGAAAGUUGGGUGUCAAAACUACCGGCUCAACCGGGACAUGCACUGGAAACUGGCGGGCUAGAGAGCAGGAGAGGGCGGUGGAACUCCAUGUGUAGCGGUAAAAUGCUUAGAUAUAUGGAAGAACACCAGUGGCGAAGGCGGCCGCCUGGCCUGUUACUGACGCUGAGGCACGAAAGUGUGGGGAGCAAAUAGGAUUAGAUACCCUUGUAGUC